GACGAACGCUGGCGGCGUGCUUAACACAUGCAAGUCGAACGGAAAGGCCCUGCUUUUGUGGGGUGCUCGAGUGGCGAACGGGUGAGUAACACGUGAGUAACCUGUCCUUGACUUUGGGAUAACUUCAGGAAACUGGGGCUAAUACCGGAUAGGAGCUCCUGCUGCAUGGUGGGGGUUGGAAAGUUUCGGCGGUUGGGGAUGGACUCGCGGCUUAUCAGCUUGUUGGUGGGGUAGUGGCUUACCAAGGCUUUGACGGGUAGCCGGCCUGAGAGGGUGACCGGCCACAUUGGGACUGAGAUACGGCCCAGACUCCUACGGGAGGCAGCAGGGGGGAAUAUUGCACAAUGGGCGGAAGCCUGAUGCAGCAACGCCGCGUGCGGGAUGACGGCCUUCGGGUUGUAAACCGCUUUCGCCUGUGACGAAGCGUGAGUGACGGUAAUGGGUAAAGAAGCACCGGCUAACUACGUG
rnacentral:rRNA from 1 species